UAAGGAAUAUUGGACAAUGGUCGGAAGACUGAUCCAGCCAUGCCGCGUGAAGGACGAAGGCGCUCAGCGUUGUAAACUUCUUUUGGAUGGGGAUAAUAACCUCUAUUUAUAGGGGCUUGAAGGUACCAUCAGAAUAAGCACCGGCUAACUCCGUGCCAGCAGCCGCGGUAAUACGGAGGGUGCGAGCGUUAUCCGGAAUCACUGGGUUUAAAGGGUGCGUAGGCGGCGAGGUAAGUCAGUUGUGAAAUUCACCGGCUCAACCGGUUGGACUGCGAUUGAUACUGCUUUGCUUGAAACAGGUUGAGGUAAGCGGAAUGUGGCAUGUAGCGGUGAAAUGCAUAGAUAUGCCAUAGAACACCGAUUGCGAAGGCAGCUUGCUGGGCCUAGUUUGACGCUGAGGCACGAAAGCGUGGGGAGCAAACAGG
rnacentral:rRNA from 1 species